rnacentral:sRNA from 1 species
AUGGAAAAGAAAAAUUAGCUGUGUCGAC